rnacentral:rRNA from 1 species
ACGGAAGGCAGCAGUGGGGGAUAUUGCACAAUGGGGGAAACCCUGAUGCAGCGACGCCGCGUGAGUGAUGAAGUAUUUCGGUAUGUAAAGCUCUAUCAGCAGGGAAGAAAAUGACGGUACCUGACUAAGAAGCACCGGCUAAAUACGUGCCAGCAGCCGCGGUAAUACGUAUGGUGCAAGCGUUAUCCGGAUUUACUGGGUGUAAAGGGAGCGUAGACGGCUGUGCAAGUCUGAAGUGAAAGGCUGGGGCUCAACCCCGGGACUGCUUUGGAAACUGUAUGGCUUGAGUGCCGGAGGGGUAAGCGGAAUUCCUAGUGUAGCGGUGAAAUGCGUAGAUAUUAGGAGGAACACCAGUGGCGAAGGCGGCUUACUGGACGGUAACUGACGUUGAGGCUCGAAAGCGUGGGGAGCAAACAGGAUUAGAUACCCUGGUA